rnacentral:rRNA from 1 species
CUUGACUGUAGCCUGGAAUUGGGUUCGGGCUUUUCUUGCGCAGACUAGGUGGGAGGCUAUGAAGAUUUCCUUCCGGGGAAGUUGGAGCCAACAGUGAGAGACCACUCUGGAAAGGCUAGAAUCCUCAUGGUGAUCCUUGAAUCAGGACACUUGACAGUUUCAGGCGGGCAGUUUUUCUGGGGCGGAAACCUCAUAAAAGGAAACUGAGGUGCGCAAAGGUUCCCUCAGUCUGGACGGAAAUCAGACAUUGAGUGUAAAGGCAAAAGGGAGCUUGACUGCAAGACCCACAAGUCGAGCAGGAGCGAAAGCUGGCUUUAGUGAUCCGACGGUGCCGCAUGGAAGGGCCGUCGCUCAACGGAUAAAAGUUA